AUCAGUGAGAUCAAACAAAACAUACCCAAUCAGUGAAGAAGCCAGGCCAGUCCCAAAAAGCCAUUGGGGGGCCAGAAGACCCUCAUCCAUAUACCACCAGAUAACCAGAAAAACAAAAACACUGCACAGCUGCGGGAUCACCACACUGGACUCAAAUACCAUAGCCCAAUAUUGGUAUUUCCGAGCAUGGAUGUUUUUCCAGAGCUCUUCCAGGAACCGCCGGUCCACAAAGUUAUCAGGAAAGGGCUGUUGCUCAUACAAGACCCUCUGCCACUUUACCUCCUUGGUGUUUGUUACAGGUUGGGUACACAUAAUCCUUUCAUUCAAACUCAGGCUAGUUUAAUCAUCCCUCUCACAGAGGUCCAUGUGGUUCUUGUUGAUGACAUUUUGAAAUGAGACCUCCCUGGAAAUUCCAUGCCUUGGUUGAUAUUCUGCUGACCUUUCCUUGUUUUCAAAGGCAGCAAUCCAGGCCAGGCCUACAAUAGAUGAGUUUGUCUCUGAGGCAGGAUAUAAUACAGCCAAGUUCCUGGGGAUGCGUGACUGGGAGAUGGCAGUUGCCUGCCUUUUUCCUUGUAAGGGUUUUUUUUUUUUUUGAGAUGGAGUCUUGCUCUGUCGCCCAGGCUGGAGUGCAGUGGCGCGAUCUCGGCUCACUGCAACCUCUGCCUCCCAGGUUCAAGCAAUUCUCCUGCCUCAGCCUCCCAAGUAGCUGGGAUUGCAGGCAUGUGCC
rnacentral:lncRNA from 1 species